UUAUUAGUUAAUCAUAAGAGAUGUAUUUAAGAUUACACAUUAUUUGAGAUAUUUUUUUUAGAUUAAAAACUUACUUGUAACAUACAUCUUAAAAGUUUAAGAUAUUACUCCACAGGUGGUAGUACUACAUACUGCAUGCGUGGUGUCAUUUGUAGCUACGUAUACGUACUACAAAUUGUUUAUACAGAAAUAUAUAUCUAUAUAUCAAGCUUCCACCAGUGGAGGUAUAUAUGAUCGUGCAUAUCGAAAUGAAUCAGUCGCGGCCACCACCUGGCAGCUUCUCCUUAAUAAUCUUUUCCAUCAUUUCUAUCUUCUCCUGGACGUGGUGCUGCUCGUCUCCUGCAGCAGCAUAUCCUCCUCCUCCUCCUCCUCCAGGUGAAUAAGUAGCCGCCUGCUCCCCCUCCUUAUUGUUCCCCUUAAUCUUUUCCAUCAUUCCUUUCUUCUCGUGGCCGUGGUGCUGCUCUUCUCCUGCAGCAUAUCCUCCUCCUACAGGUGAAUAAAUAGCCUGCUCCCCCUCCUGCUUGUGCCCGCCAGCACCCGGUAACUUCUCCUUUAUCUUCCCUUUUAUCCCUUUCUUCUUCCUCCCUCCCAC
rnacentral:lncRNA from 1 species